rnacentral:rRNA from 1 species
CCUACGGGUGGCAGCAGUGAGGAAUAUUGGUCAAUGGGCGCGAGCCUGAACCAGCCAAGUCGCGUGAGGGAAGACGGUCCUAUGGAUUGUAAACCUCUUUGGUCGGGGAGCAAAAGACGCCACGCGUGGCGUUCCGAGAGUACCCGAAGAAAAAGCAUCGGCUAACUCCGUGCCAGCAGCCGCGGUAAUACGGAGGAUGCGAGCGUUAUCCGGCGUUAUUGGGUUUAAAGGGUGCGCAGGCGGAAGAUCAAGUCAGCGGUAAAUGGAGAGGGUCAAAAUCUUCGAGCCGUUGAAACUGGUUUGCGUGAGUGAGUGAGAAGUAUGCGGAAUGCGUGGUGUAGCGUUGAAAUGCAAAGAUAUCACGCAGAACUCCGAUUGCGAAGGCAGCAUACCGGCGCUCAACUGACGCUCAUGCACGAAAGUGUGGGUAUCGAACAGGAUUAGAUACCCGAGUAGUC